rnacentral:tRNA from 1 species
UCUCGGGGUUUGUACACACCGCCCGUCAAACCACGAAAGUUGGCAAUACCCAAAGCCGGUGGCCUAACUUCGCAAGAAGA